rnacentral:ncRNA from 2 species
AGCAAACAUUUGGGGUGCCUUUGGCUGAGAUGAUACCCAUUGAACCUGAUGCAGUUAGCACUGACGCAGGGAAAUGUCACAAUGGAUAA